CGGACGGGUGAGUAACGCGUGGGUAACCUGCCUCAUACAGGGGGAUAACAGUUAGAGAUGACUGCUAAUACCGCAUAAGACCACAGCACCGCAUGGUGCGGGGGUAAAAACUCCGGUGGUAUGAGAUGGACCCGCGUCUGAUUAGCUGGUUGGUAAGGUAACGGCUUACCAAGGCGACGAUCAGUAGCCGACCUGAGAGGGUGACCGGCCACAUUGGGACUGAGACACGGCCCAA
rnacentral:rRNA from 1 species